GGUGAACACGGAGCUUGCUCUGUGGGAUCAGUGGCGAACGGGUGAGUAACACGUGAGCAACCUGCCCCUGACUCUGGGAUAAGCGCUGGAAACGGCGUCUAAUACUGGAUAUGUGACGUGACCGCAUGGUCUGCGUCUGGAAAGAAUUUCGGUUGGGGAUGGGCUCGCGGCCUAUCAGCUUGUUGGUGAGGUAAUGGCUCACCAAGGCGUCGACGGGUAGCCGGCCUGAGAGGGUGACCGGCCACACUGGGACUGAGACACGGCCCAGACUCCUACGGGAGGCAGCAGUGGGGAAUAUUGCACAAUGGGCGCAAACCUGACGCAGCAACGCCGCGUGAGGGACGACGGCCUUCGGGUUGUAAACCUCUUUUAGCAGGGAAGAAGCGAAAGUGACGGUACCUGCAGAAAAAGCGCCGGCUAACUACGUGCCAGCAGCCGCGGUAAUACGUAGGGCGCAAGCGUUAUCCGGAAUUAUUGGGCGUAAAGAGCUCGUAGGCGGUUUGUCGCGUCUGCUGUGAAAUCCGGAGGCUCAACCUCCGGCCUGCAGUGGGUACGGGCAGACUAGAGUGCGGUAGGGGAGAUCGGAAUUCCUGGUGUAGCGGUGGAAUGCGCAGAUAUCAGGAGGAACACCGAUGGCGAAGGCAGAUCUCUGGGCCGUAACUGACGCUGAGGAGCGAAAGGGUGGGGAGCAAACAGGCUUAGAUACCCUGGUAGUCCACCCCGUAAACGUUGGGAACUAGUUGUGGGGUCCAUUCCACGGAUUCCGUGACGCAGCUAACGCAUUAAGUUCCCCGCCUGGGGAGUACGGCCGCAAGGCUAAAACUCAAAGGAAUUGACGGGGACCCGCACAAGCGGCGGAGCAUGCGGAUUAAUUCGAUGCAACGCGAAGAACCUUACCAAGGCUUGACAUAUACGAGAACGGGCCAGGAAUG
rnacentral:rRNA from 1 species